UCUCACAUGGGCAUCAGUCAUGUCCCAAAAAGCCUCUACUGUGCCGGUUAGGACCCACACUCACCAUCUUGGAUCCUUGGCUCAUUUUCCUGAUUCUGGAAGGAAAGGAGAGAAACCUGAAUUCUCCAGGAAGAGACAAGCAGGAACUGAGCCUGAGCCACCCUUUCCUAACGGAGGAAGCUAAAGGGGCUAGAAGGGAAAGGAACAGCCAAGCCACCAACCUGGGCCUGCAGGGAAGGCUGUGAUGGCCAGCUAACCUUUGACCUCUGACUGCAGUGAUGUCACAGCAGGUCCCUGGCAACACUGGGCUGCUUCCUUGGAGAAGAGGCCACAAGCCAGGUUACCGGCCAUGGCCUCAGCCUGAGGCAGUGCAAGUGGCCUCCUCUUCGAUUAGAAUGGAGAAGGACCCUGCUGCACACAGAAGGCACCGGCCUGGGCCUGGGGCCCUGCCCUCGGGGGCAGCCCCUGGGCUUGGCAAGGCAGCCAGUGAGGGGCCUGCACUGCAGAGAAGCAGGAGCGUAGGUGGCCUGAUACAGAAGGGGGACCCCCCAAGCCGCCCCAGGAAUCCAUGCAGGGAACCCGAGUCUGAAGAUCAGGACCAUGACCCAAGGAGGGACACAAACAACGCCAGUGGUCAGGCAGACCUAGAGGAAGAUGGGAAAGAGAAGAAUCAGGAUGCCCAGGGAACCCCGGAUCCUGACAGUGGGAAAGCAGAGCCAGAGACUGAGUGGAGUGGUGCAGAGACCAGCACCGAGGGGGAGCAGGAAGGCACAGGCUGGUGUUCCAGGGAGGCCGAGGAACAGGAAUUGGAGCCGAUAAAGCUGGUCAGCCAUCUCGAAAAAGAGAAACCACCUACAUUUGUGGAGAUUGAUCUGGGAGAUCACACUGAGGAGGUCAUCCCCUGUGCCGUGAGAGAGGAGAUGCAGGCCCGGAUGGACACAGGAGAUCUGUCAGAAGAUGAGAUACAGACCAGCUGGUUGUGCUGCAUCCCAUACACUACCAGGAGGAAGACCAAGUGUGGCAUGGCGGCCCUGGAGAAGUCUUAGGAACCCGCCAAGAUGGGAUGCAGCCUGGCUUUCUCCUGUCAGCCUUUAACCCUCAUCCAUCCCUCAGUAAAGACAGACUGGAAUGUGAAUGCACCUCAGCUUUGGUUACAACCAGACACAGAGAUGCCCACAGGCUGCAGUUAGGGCUGGGUGUGCCACCACAGCCCAGGACACAGAACCCUCCACCUCUGGCUGGCCUAGGUCCUCUGACACUUGGGUGGGUGAGAGCAAGGGAAAUCCCCAUGUGGCUGCCACCCAGCAGGAGGUAAAAGCCAAACCCCAGCCUGGCCUCCAGGGACCACAGAGAGGACAAGCACAGUAGGAACCACUCAGGAUGUCUCACAGGCCGAGGGUCCUCUCUCUCAGAGGUGCCAGGGUCACAGCCAGACAUGUGGUCAGGAGGAGAGGGUCCCCAGCCUCUGCUCCGGGGCCGUGGAAGACUCAAUGUGGCACGGCUGGGCUGCCUCGCAGGCCCAGAUCAGGGUGACCUCUGGGCCUCUCAGCUGUGAUCCCGUGGUGUUGGGUUUCACCCUCCUUGGGGUGAGAUCCUGAGAGGGAGGGAGCUCAGACACCUGGGAGCCCCUGGAUGUUGAUUCAAACAGGCUGUGACGUUCAUGGGGACGGAGCACUCCAUGUUACAGUUGAGAAAAUCCCACAGCCUACAGGCAAGAAAGCAGGGUCCAGGCUCAGGGCUGGUGGGCAGCGG
rnacentral:lncRNA from 1 species